rnacentral:piRNA from 1 species
UCAAACAAAAAGCCAGGGAAUUAGGGUCC